rnacentral:rRNA from 1 species
AGUCGAGCGGAUGAAGAGAGCUUGCUCUCGGAUUCAGCGGCGGACGGGUGAGUAAUGCCUAGGAAUCUGCCUGGUAGUGGGGGACAACGUCUCGAAAGGGACGCUAAUACCGCAUACGUCCUACGGGAGAAAGCAGGGGACCUUCGGGCCUUGCGCUAUCAGAUGAGCCUAGGUCGGAUUAGCUAGUUGGUGAGGUAAUGGCUCACCAAGGCGACGAUCCGUAACUGGUCUGAGAGGAUGAUCAGUCACACUGGAACUGAGACACGGUCCAGACUCCUACGGGAGGCAGCAGUGGGGAAUAUUGGACAAUGGGCGAAAGCCUGAUCCAGCCAUGCCGCGUGUGUGAAGAAGGUCUUCGGAUUGUAAAGCACUUUAAGUUGGGAGGAAGGGCAUUAACCUAAUACGUUAGUGUUUUGACGUUACCGACAGAAUAAGCACCGGCUAACUCUGUGCCAGCAGCCGCGGUAAUACAGAGGGUGCAAGCGUUAAUCGGAAUUACUGGGCGUAAAGCGCGCGUAGGUGGUUCGUUAAGUUGGAUGUGAAAUCCCCGGGCUCAACCUGGGAACUGCAUUCAAAACUGACGAGCUAGAGUAUGGUAGAGGGUGGUGGAAUUUCCUGUGUAGCGGUGAAAUGCGUAGAUAUAGGAAGGAACACCAGUGGCGAAGGCGACCACCUGGACUGAUACUGACACUGA